CGCUGGAAUGCCUUACGGUUGAAAGCUUUAGCGUCUGAGGAUGGGUCUGCGGCCGAUUAGGUAGUUGCUGGGGUAACGUCCCAACAAGCCGAUAAUCGGUACGGGUUGUGAGAGCAAGAGCCCGGAGAUGGAUUCUGAGACACGAAUCCAGGUCCUACGGGGCGCAGCAGGCGCGAAAACUUUACACUGCGCGAAAGCGCGAUAAGGGGACCUCGAGUGCGUGCGCAAAGCGUACGCUUUUCAGAUGCCUAAAAAGCAUCUGGAAUAAGGGCCGGGCAAGACCGGUGCCAGCCGCCGCGGUAACACCGGCGGCUCAAGUGGUGGCCGCUAUUAUUGGGCUUAAAGGGUCCGUAGCCGGACCAGUUAGUCCCUUGGGAAAUCUUACGGCUUAACCGUAAGGCUGCCAAUGGAUACUGCUGGUCUUGGGACCGGGAGAGGCAAGAGGUACCUCAGGGGUAGGAGUGAAAUCCUGUAAUCCUUGAGGGACCGCCAGUGGCGAAGGCGUCUUGCUAGAACGGGUCCGACGGUGAGGGACGAAAGCUAGGGGCACGAACCGGAUUAGAUACCCGGGUAGUCCUAGCCGUAAACGAUGCGAGCUAGGUGUCACGUGGAUUGCGAAUCCAUGUGGUGCCGAAGGGAAACCGCGAAGCUCGCCGCCUGGGAAGUACGGCCGCAAGGCUGAAACUUAAAGGAAUUGGCGGGGGAGCAC
rnacentral:rRNA from 1 species